UGUAGGGUGAUCCUAUGCUGCCAAGAAAAUCUUCUAGCGAGGUUCGAGCCGCCCGUACCCCAAACCGACUCAGGUGGUUAGGUAGAGAAUACCAAGGCGAUCGAGUGAAUCGUGGUUAAGGAAUUCGGCAAAAUGCCCCCGUAACUUCGGGAGAAGGGGGGCCCAGACUCUGAAGUCACUUGCUGACUAGGGGAAAGGGCCGCAGAGACCAGGGAGAAGCGACUGUUUACUAAAAACACAGGUCCGUGCGAAGUCGCAAGACGAUGUAUACGGACUGACGCCUGCCCGGUGCUGGAAGGUUAAGAGGACGGGUUAGAUCUUCGGGUCGAAGCUCAGAAUUUAAGCCCCAGUAAACGGCGGUGGUAACUAUAACCAUCCUAAGGUAGCGAAAUUCCUUGUCGGGUAAGUUCCGACCUGCACGAAUGGCGUAACGACUUCUCCACUGUCUCAACCGCGAACUCGGCGAAAUUGCACUACGGGUAAAGAUGCUCGUUACGCGCAGCAGGACGGAAAGACCCCGGGACCUUCACUAUAGCUUGGUAUUGGUGUUCGGGACGGCUUGUGUAGGAUAGGUGGGAGACUUUGAAGCCGGCACGCCAGUGUCGGUGGAGUCAACGUUGAAAUACCACUCUGGUCGUUCUGGAUGUCUAACCUCGGUCCGUGAUCCGGAUCAGGGACAGUGCCUGGUGGGUAGUUUAACUGGGGCGGUUGCCUCCUAAAAGGUAACGGAGGCGCUCAAAGGUUCCCUCAGCCUGGUUGGCAAUCAGGUGUCGAGUGUAAGUGCACAAGGGAGCUUGACUGCGAGAGAGACAUCUCGAGCAGGGACGAAAGUCGGAACUAGUGACCCGGCGGUGGCUUGUGGAAGCGCCGUCGCUCAACGGAUAAAAGGUACCCCGGGGAUAACAGGCUGAUCUUGCCCAAGAGUCCAUAUCGACGGCAUGGUUUGGCACCUCGAUGUCGGCUCGUCGCAUCCUGGGGGUGGAGUCGCUCCCAAGGGUUGGGCUGUUCGCCCAUUAAAGCGGUACGCGAGCUGGGUUUAGAACGUCGUGAGACAGUUCGGUCCCUAUCCGCUGUGCGCGUAGGAAACUUGAGAAAGGCUGACCCUAGUACGAGAGGACCGGGUUGGACGAACCUCUGGUGUGUCAGUUGUUCUGCCAAGAGCACCGCUGAUUAGCUACGUUCGGAAGUGAUAACCGCUGAAAGCAUCUAAGCGGGAAGCACGUUUCAAGAUGAGGUUUC
rnacentral:rRNA from 1 species